AUUGCUUCUUGGCCUUUUGGCUAAGAUCAAGUGUAAAAGAUGGUUCAUGUAUGCAUUCUUUUUUUUUUUUUUUUUUUGAGAUGGAGUCUCGCUGUGUCUCCCAGGCUGGAGUGCAGUGGCGUGAUCUCAGCUCACUGCAA
ensembl:snRNA U2 U2 spliceosomal RNA